AAAACAUGUCUUAUUGAUUAUAAUUUUAAGUCUAAUCUGCCCAAUGAUAUUUUAUUUAAUGGCUGCAGUAUUUAUAACUGUACAAAGGUAGCAUAAUAAUUAGUUUUUUAAUUGAAAACUAGAAUGAAAGAUUAAAUGAAAUAUAUACUAUAUAAAUAAAAUUAAAAAUUAAAAUUAAAAUUUAAGUAAAAAUUCUUAAAUUAUUUUAAAAGACGAGAAGACCCUAUAGAAUUUUAUUUUUUAUUAUUUUAAGAUUUAAUAAUAAAUUUAAAUAAAUAAUAAAAAAUUUAAUUGGGGUAAUUUUAAAAUUAAAUUAAUUUUUAUUUAAAAAACAUAAAUUAAUGAAUUUUUAA
rnacentral:rRNA from 1 species